UUUCUAUCAGGAACUCCUACAACUGAUCUCUUUCUUACGCGCUCCUGCAGUUGAUUUCUCUUUUACACCCCUUGUUACCAUUCGUGAACCCUAAGGCUCUCAUUCUCUCUCUCGGUUAAGCCUAGAAUUUGUGGGCGAUUUCGAAACCUGGCAAAGCCCCCUGGUUCUUUCACCUUCCUGCGCAACUGAUCUCUCUCGUCGAGGCUCUUGCAACUGAUUUCCCUCCUGCAACUGAUCUCUCUUUUACACCCCCUGUUACCAUUCGCGAACCCUAAGGUGGGAUUGAUGUUGAAGCACUCCAGAUUGGACGAAAUCAGGAUAAUUUUGAGUCAUGUAACUAAAUAUUUAACUUUGGGGAUGUUUGGAUACGAAUUUAAGAUUUUUUGUGAUAUUUCUAAAUAUGUUAAUUGUGGGAUGCUUGGAUAA